rnacentral:rRNA from 1 species
UACGGAGGGUGCAAGCGUUAUCCGGAUUCACUGGGUUUAAAGGGUGUGUAGGCGGUUAUUUAAGUCCGAGGUGAAAUCUCUGAGCUCAACUCAGAAACUGCCUUGGAUACUAUUUAUCUUGAAUAUCGUUGAGGUAGGCGGAAUAUGUCAUGUAGCGGUGAAAUGCUUAGAUAUGACAUAGAACACCGAUUGCGAAGGCAGCUUGCUAAACGAUUAUUGACGCUGAGGCACGAAAGCGUGGGGAUCAAACAGG